GACGAACGCUGGCGGCGUGCUUAACACAUGCAAGUCGAACGAUGAAGCCGGAGCUUGCUCUGGUGAAUUAGUGGCGAACGGGUGAGUAACACGUGAGUAACCUGCCCUUGACUCUGGGAUAACUGCGGGAAACUGUAGCUAAUACCGGAUACGACCCUCGGAGGCAUCUCCUGGGGGUGGAAAGAAUUUCGGUCAAGGAUGGACUCGCGGCCUAUCAGCUAGUUGGUGAGGUAAAGGCUCACCAAGGCGACGACGGGUAGCCGGCCUGAGGGGGUGACCGGCCACACUUGGACUGAAACACGGCCCAGACUCCUACGGGAGGCAGCAGUGGGGAAUAUUGCACAAUGGGCGCAAGCCUGAUGCAGCAACGCCGCGUGAGGGAUGACGGCCUGCGGGUUGUAAACCUCUUUUAGCAGGGAAGAAGCGAAAGUGACGGUACCUGCAGAAAAAGCACCGGCUAACUACGUGCCAGCCGCCGCCGUAA
rnacentral:rRNA from 1 species